AUUGAACGCUGGCGGCAGGCCUAACACAUGCAAGUCGAACGGUAACAGAAAGCAGCUUGCUGCUUUGCUGACGAGUGGCGGACGGGUGAGUAAUGUCUGGGAAACUGCCUGAUGGAGGGGGAUAACUACUGGAAACGGUAGCUAAUACCGCAUAACGUCGCAAGACCAAAGAGGGGGACCUUCGGGCCUCUUGCCAUCGGAUGUGCCCAGAUGGGAUUAGCUAGUAGGUGGGGUAAAGGCUCACCUAGGCGACGAUCCCUAGCUGGUCUGAGAGGAUGACCAGCCACACUGGAACUGAGACACGGUCCAGACUCCUAAGGGAGGCAGCAGUGGGGAAUAUUGCACAAUGGGCGCAAGCCUGAUGCAGCCAUGCCGCGUGUAUGAAGAAGGCCUUCGGGUUGUAAAGUACUUUCAGCGGGGAGGAAGGGAGUAAAGUUAAUACCUUUGCUAAUUGACGUUACCCGCAGAAGAAGCACCGGCUAACUCCGUG
rnacentral:rRNA from 1 species